rnacentral:rRNA from 1 species
UACGUAGGGGGCAAGCGUUGUCCGGAAUCAUUGGGCGUAAAGAGCGUGUAGGCGGCCUGGUAAGUCCGCUGUGAAAGUCCAGGGCUCAACCCUGGAAUGCCGGUGGAAACUGUCAGGCUCGAGUCCGGAAGAGGCGAGUGGAAUUCCUGGUGUAGCGGUGGAAUGCGCAGAUAUCAGGAGGAACACCGGUGGCGAAGGCGGGUCUCUGGGCCGUUACUGACGCUGAGGAGCGAAAGCGUGGGGAGCGAACAGG